rnacentral:rRNA from 1 species
CUCCCCCCUCUCUCGCCUCUCUUUUCUCUCUUCUCUUCUAUCUCUUUUCUCUCUCUCUCCUUACUCCUUUCUCCUCUCUCUCUCUUCUCUCUCCUUCUCUCCUCCUCUCUUUACUCCUCUUAUUUAUUCUCUCUCUUCUUUACUCUUUUCCAUUUAACCUUCUCAUAAGUUUUCUCUUAGUUUUUCUGUCAUCUCAUGCUUCAUCACCUUUUCCCUAACUAUCUUUACUUUCCUUUCUAAUCUGGCCCUACAUCCAUGAGGUGGAUUCUCUAUUGGGCCCUCGAGGAAAAAAUGUAAGUCUUAACGACUCUUAAGUCUCUAGAAAGUAGCAGGGUGGUUAAGCUCAAACUGGUUGUGCUUGUGCUUACUGCUUAGAGGGACAAGCGUCUUGAAGACGCACGAGAUUGAGCAAUAACAGGUCUGUGAUGCCCUUAGAUGUUCGGGGCCGCACGCGCGCUACACUGAAGGGGACAGCGAGUUUUUCCUGGUUCGAAAGAACCGGGUAAUCUGUUGAAUUCCCUUCGUGACAGGGAUCGGGGCUUGCAAUUAUUCCCCGUGAACGAGGAAUUCCCAGUAAGCGCAAGUCAUCAGCUUGCGUUGAUUACGUCCCUGCCCUUUGUACACACCGCCCGUCGCUACUACCGAUUGAAUGGUUUAGCAAGGUCCUCGGAUUGGUGCCGACUUGGUGGCAACACUAGGUCGGAUACUGAAAAGAAGAUCAAACUUGAUCAUUUAGAGGAAGUAAAAGUCGUAACAAGGUUUCCGUAGGUGAACCUGCGGAAGGAUCAUUACUGAAUGUCUUUUAAAAACACUUUCUACUGUUGGGAAUAAAGUCCAGGGAUUCUCUGCCCUUCUAUUUUGAGAAACCCUGGCGGGCUUAUUUUCUAGCGCGCUUAAUUGUGUGCUAUACUUAAAUAAGCCGGCGGGCCGUGCUAUAGACUCAAAUUGGCGAGGCAAAAACGAAGGGAGCUUUGCUUAAGAGUCUUUUAGCGGAGCUAUACUAUUUUUUUAACGCUCAGCGGUCACAUGCUACCUAUAAAAAUCUCUUGGUCGGAGGUGCCUAUGCUGUUAGCCUCUCUUUAAUUUAUUUUAUAGAGAGUACCUAGCUGCGCUUGAGUGUCGUAAAGAGGGUGCGCUCGGUCGGGAUUAUUAAUAAGCGCACACCACUGACGCAAGGCUCAAUGAGAUGCAAAGACUGUUCGCUCCUUUUCCUCCCAGACCUGACGGGAGUUUGCUACCACAGAUUUUGGUAGUUUAUAAAAAUAUUUUCCCUUCCAAGUAAGGAGCGACGACUCUUAUUAUGUCUGAGCAUCCACCUCUAACCUCUAACGUUUAUUUCACACUGUUUGAUUAAACAUUUUUUAAGGCAUAGCCUUGAAAAAAGAACCGAUCACCGAGAAGUUUUGCUUCCCUUCGGUUAGAUCGAAGUAUUUGCAGGCCCAUAGUGACUUGCAUAAUGAACAACUCUGAGCGGUGGAUCACUCGGCUCGUGCGUCGAUGAAGAGCGCAGCCAACUGCGUGAAUUAGUGUGAAUUGCAGGAUAUCUUGAACAUCGACAUCUUGAACGCAUAUUGCGGCCUCAGGUCUCCCCUGUGGCCACGCCUGGCCGAGGGUCGGUUUAGCAAACUAUCGCUGUAUCUUUUUUAACAGCAGCGUAUUUGGGAGACCGCAUCUCUCAUACUGCUUCUUCUCUAUUAUAGUAGCAUGUAUAGAUUUGCAUCUCUUUAAAGUCUCUGAGUUUUAUUUCCAGCCGUGCAUUUCUUCUCUUAUUGGAAGGAAAGUGCAGACAUGCCACCUCUAUUUGCAAAAGCAUGUACGCGUGCCGGUAUGGCUCGAAGAGUUGUACCGAGUGCGUGUACUGUGCUGAGUGUCUGUUUCUUUUGUCUCCUUCCUUAUUAAGAGGCUGCGGCUGAAAACAAUAAAUUCUUUUGCCUGACCUCGGAUCAGACGUGAUUACCCGCUGAAUUUAAGCAUAUUAUUAAGCGGAGGAAAAGAAACUAACAAGGAUUCCCCUAGUAACGGCGAGUGAACGGGGAAGAGCCCAACACCGAAUCCCUUGGCGCAAGUCAACGGGAAAUGUGGUGUUAAGGUAGCCCUUCGUGUCAGUCUAGGCGUCUCAAGUCCACCUGAUUGUGGCUCAAGCCCAGAGAGGGUGUAAGGCCCGUAGAGACGCUCCGACUGAUUCCUGGGGUUUACCUACGAGUCGGCUUGUUUGGGAAUGCAGGCCAAAGCGGGUGGUAAACUCCAUCCAAGGCUAAAUACUGGCACGAGUCCGAUAGCGGACAAGUACCGUGAGGGAAAGUUGAAAAGAACUUUGAAGAGAGAGUUCAAUAGUACGUGAAACCGCUUAGAGGCAAACGGAUGGUGCUCAUACUGGCCUGAGGAAUUCAACUGUGACGGUGGCUGGACGAGCUGGCGUUCCGAUCUCUCUUUUGGGACGGGCGUCGGUUUGGCUAUCAGCUCCGACAUGGUGCACUUUCCUUGGUGCCUCCGCCACGAC